rnacentral:pre_miRNA from 1 species
CGAUUUCUCUUCAAAUAGAAAACAAUGGACCAUCUUCAAUGCAAAUGGUCUAUUGUUUUCUAUUUGAAGAGAAAUCG